CGCGUCUCCGCGGGCGCCGCGCAAACUCACCAGGUCUUCCCAGGAUGCAGUGCGCGUCCGUCUGUGCCUGCGAGCCGCUGGGUUUCCUAGCUGCUGCUCUCUCAUCCGCUAGGGCGCGAUUGGCCCAGGUCUCCAUACCGUUCCAUAACCCGUCCCUAGGAGGGCCUCGCCUGUGACGUCAUAAGGCCCAUCGAUUGGCAUCUCGUGGAGCCAGUGCACCGCUUUCAAGAUGAAAGAAAAAGUGGAAAAACUCGGCAUAGGACACAAAUGGGUUUGCAGACUGUUCACAAAAAGAGGGAAGAACAUGUGUAUCUAAUAAGAAGCACUGGGGGGAAAAAAAGAAAAAAGAACACUGCACAAAAGUGGGAAAGUUGGAGAAGGAAAAAAGAUCAGAACAGCUUAGAAAGAAGCAAAGCCAUGCGCUUUGGUAACCUGGGAAAAUGCACCCUAAAGGGCAACCAACAUGGAGGAGUGAAAACAGGACACCUACUUGGCCAGCGGAGAAGCUCUCAGAAGCCAUCAGCAAGGACAGCAAGGGGACGGACCCCACGACGGGCAGGCGGGAGGGGGGAAGAAGAAAGACAUUAAACACAGGACAGUUAAGCAGAUGCGUCCUUAGGACACUGGAAGGCAUGGACUGUUGGGAGACGGGGUGACAGCAUUAGAGCAGGAACAGGAGGGACAGAAUAUCAGAAAAUGACAGGUCCUGGAACAGGGAGAAAGUGGCCACAUUGAGAGGCAGGAAAGUUUAGGGUGUGGGGGGAGCAAGUAGGGGCUGCAUAAAGCACUUUAGAAAAAAUCUGGGAGAGGGGAGCUUUCUAGCUGCUCCCCUAAAGUUCAACACCUUCCUCCUGUGGGGAAAUGGUGGUUGUUUCCAGCAUCUAGGGAUCAUGUAGCCAAGGGAGCUGGGAAGAGAGGAAAGGCAUGUCUCCCAGGUGUGCCCCUUCCAUGCUCCCAUACUCCAUGCACACACACCCUGUCUCUGUCACCAUCUGCACUUCUGUCCCCAGGUGUGUUUUACAGGUUUCAUGGCCAUGGGCACCUAAUGUGCCCAAGCGUGGUGUACAAGUAACUCCUGCCGUGGGUGCUCAUCUGCCCGCUGUUGCUCUACAGGUGACUUGUGGGCUAUACUGUGCUUUGCUGGUUUUUGGAGUUAGCUACAUGAGAAGUCGCCAAUGUGUCAGCGUUUCCUGCCUGCUGGCUGGCUAGCAUUUCUCACAAUUUCCCCGGUGUUGCUAAAGCAGCUGUGAAGAUGACACGGAGUUAAGGCUGCUGGGAAAGUGCUUGGUGAAGUCUCAUCAGAACAUAGAAAGUGGAUUCCCUGUCUGUUUCAGCAUGUGUUGACAUUUAAUUUCCCUCCCACCUCAACUUCCUUCUCCUGGGUGUAAGACUAUGUUAUUUUUCUUCUGAAUGCACACCAGGUACAUGCAGAACAGUCCCCAUCUGUUUUCAGGUGGCAUCUUUAUGUGUCCUCACAGUGGUCCCUCUGAAGUUGUCUUGUCCUGAUCUCCUCUUUUUCUAAGGACACCAGUGGAGUGAAUUAAGGUCCAUGUAUUCACCUUCAUUUUAGUUUAAUUACUUUUUUAAAGACCUUGAUUUCCAAAGACAGUUCACUCUGAGGUACAGAAGGUUAGCACUUCAUAUAAAUUUGGGGUGAGGAGACAGUUCAGCCAGUAACUGUGAACUUCACUGCCCUAAAAGUGCUAGAUCAGGAAUCUAACUUAUCAUUCUGUAACCUCUCCUCCAUUCUCUCUGCUGCCCUGCAAGCUGGCCUGUGCAGGGAGGAAGUAGGCCAUGCAUGAGAGCAUGGGAACUGUCAGGAGUUUAGAGGCUCUUCCUAAUAAACAUUUGGGAUCUGG